rnacentral:tRNA from 1 species
UCCCUGGUGGCUGAGAUGGUAAAGAAUCUGCCUGCAAUGCAGAAGACCUGGGUUCGAUCUCUGGGUUGGGAA